rnacentral:rRNA from 1 species
CAAUAAGCGGAGGAAAAGAAACCAACAGGGAUUGCUCUAGUAACGGCGAGUGAAGCAGCAAUAGCUCAAAUUUGAAAUCUGGCGUCUUCGACGUCCGAGUUGUAAUUUGUAGAGGAUGCUUCUGAGUAACCACCGACCUAAGUUCCUUGGAACAGGACGUCAUAGAGGGUGAGAAUCCCGUAUGCGGUCGGAAAGGUGCUCUAUACGUAGCUCCUUCGACGAGUCGAGUUGUUUGGGAAUGCAGCUCUAAAUGGGAGGUAAAUUUCUUCUAAAGCUAAAUAUUGGCCAGAGACCGAUAGCGCACAAGUAGAGUGAUCGAAAGAUGAAAAGCACUUUGGAAAGAGAGUUAAAAAGCACGUGAAAUUGUUAAAAGGGAAGGGAUUGCAACCAGACUUGCUCGCGGUGUUCCGCCGGUCUUCUGACCGGUCUACUCGCCGCGUUGCAGGCCAGCAUCGUCUGGUGCCGCUGGAUAAGACUUGAGGAAUGUAGCUCCCUCGGGAGUGUUAUAGCUCUGUGAUGCAGCGAGCGCCGGCGAGUCCGCGCUUCGGCUAGGAUGCUGGCGUAAUGGUCGUAAUCCGCCCGUCUUGAACACGGACCA